GAUCAUGGCUCAGGACGAACGCUGGCGGCGCGCCUAACACAUGCAAGUCGAACGAGAGAGAAGGAGCUUGCUUCUUCGAUCGAGUGGCGAACGGGUGAGUAACGCGUGAGGAACCUACCUCAAAGAGGGGGACAACAGUUGGAAACGACUGCUAAUACCGCAUAAGCCCACGGGUCGGCAUCGACCUGAGGGAAAAGGAGCAAUCCGCUUUGAGAUGGCCUCGCGUCCGAUUAGCUAGUUGGUG
rnacentral:rRNA from 1 species